UGGAGGAUUGAGAAAGUGAUACAGCUUUCCAUCUGCUGCAUUUACUGGUGAACUCCUCCUAUAUUAAAAUAUUACAAUAAUAGUGAGUUCUACAAUAC